rnacentral:rRNA from 1 species
UACGAGGGGUGCAAGCGUUGCUCGGAAUUAUUGGGCGUAAAGGGUAUGUAGGUGGUCUCAUUUGUCUGGGGUGAAAGCCUUGAGCUUAACUCGAGAAGUGCCUCAGAAACGGUGAGACUAGAGUUCUGGAGAGGGUCGUGGAAUUCCCGGUGUAGCGGUGAAAUGCGUAGAGAUCGGGAGGAACACCAGUGGCGAAGGCGGCUCGCUGGGCCGGCCCUGACGCUGAGGCGCGAAGGCGUGGGGAGCGAACGGG